AGCGGGGUGGGGCAGUCAGGAGUGCCCGCCGGACGUAACCCGGAGGUCCGAGGUUCAAAUCCUCGCCCCGCUACCA
rnacentral:tRNA from 1 species